UCCGGUUUGGCACCGGCAGUCUCCCUAGAGUUCCCGGCAUGACCCGCUGGCAACUAAGGACAGGGGUUGCGCUCGUUGCGCCACUUAAGGCAACACCUCACGGCACGAGCUGACGACAGCCAUGCACCACCUGUGCAGGCUCCGAAGAGCGCCCGCUUUCACGGGUUCCACCCUGCAUGUCAAACCCAGGUAAGGUGGGGAUGACGUAGACCUUGGACC
rnacentral:misc_RNA from 1 species